UUUCCGCAGGUGAACCUGCGGAAGGAUCAUUAUUGUAUAACCGAGGUGCGUGGGCUGUCGCUGACCCGAAAGGUCGUGCACGCCCGAGUGCCCUCACACACAUCCAUCUCACCCCUAUGUGCACCACCGCGUGGGUCCCCCUUUGGCUUGUUCGGAGGGGGGCUUACGUUUUCACACAAACUUUGUAUGCAGUGUAGAAUGUAUUUUUUGUUUUUGCGAUCACGCAAUCAAUACAACUUUCAACAACGGAUCUCUUGGCUCUC
rnacentral:misc_RNA from 1 species